GGUCAGUUAGCUCAGUCAGUUGAGCGUGGCACUAACAAUGCCAAGGUUACAGGUUAAAUUCCUGUUCGGUCCC
rnacentral:tRNA from 1 species